rnacentral:rRNA from 1 species
AUAAGCGGAGGAAAAGAAACCAACAGGAUGCCUAGUAACGGCGAGUGAAGCGGCAACAGCUCAAAUUUGAAAGCUGGCUCUCGGGCCCGCAUUGUAAUUUGCAGAGGAUGCUUCUGGCGACGCGCCUUCCGAGUUCCCUGGAACGGGACGCCAUAGAGGGUGAGAGCCCCGUCCGGUCGUGCGCCUAGCCUCUGUGAAGCUCCUUCGACGAGUCGAGUAGUUUGGGAAUGCUGCUCAAAAUGGGAGGUAUACGUCUUCUAAAGCUAAAUACCGGCCAGAGACCGAUAGCGCACAAGUAGAGUGAUCGAAAGAUGAAAAGCACUUUGAAAAGAGAGUUAAAAAGUACGUGAAAUUGUUGAAAGGGAAGCGCUCAUGACCAGACUUGGGCUGGCCCGAUCAUCCGGCGUUCUCGCCGGUGCACUCGGGCCGCCCAGGCCCAGCAUCAGCUUUCGCCGGGGGAUAAAGGCGGCGGGAAUGUGGCUCCCUCGGGAGUGUUAUAGCCCGCCGUGCAAUACCCUGGUGGGGGCUGAGGUUCGCGCGUAUGCACGGAUGCUGGCGUAAUGGUUAUCAGCGACCCGUCUUGAAACACGGACCAAGGAGUCGUCUUCGUAUGCGAGUGUUCGGGUGUCAAACCCCUACGCGGAAUGAAAGUGAACGCUGGUGAGAGCUUCGGCGCAUCACCGACCGAUCCUGAUGUUCUCGGACGGAUUUGAGUAAGAGCAUACGGGGCCGGACCCGAAAGAAGGUGAACUAUGCCUGUAUAGGGUGAAGCCAGAGGAAACUCUGGUGGAGGCUCGCAGCGGUUCUGACGUGCAAAUCGAUCGUCAAAUAUGGGCAUGGGGGCGAAAGACUAAUCGAACCUUCUAGUANCUGGUUUCCGCCGAAGUUUCCCUCAGGAUAGCAGUGUUGAGCUCAGUUUUAUGAGGUAAAGCGAAUGAUUAGGGACCCGGGGGCGCUAUUUAGCCUUCAUCCAUUCUCAAACUUUAAAUAUGUAAGAAG